UCGCGUCUGCCGUGAAAGUCCGGGGCUCAACUCCGGAUCUGCGGUGGGUACGGGCAGACUAGAGUGAUGUAGGGGAGACUGGAAUUCCUGGUGUAGCGGUGAAAUGCGCAGAUAUCAGGAGGAACACCGAUGGCGAAGGCAGGUCUCUGGGCAUUAACYGACGCUGAGGAGCGAAAGCAUGGGGAGCGAACAGGAUUAGAUACCCUGGUAGUCCAUGCCGUAAACGUUGGGCACUAGGUGUGGGGGACAUUCCACGUUUUCCGCGCCGUAGCUAACGCAUUAAGUGCCCCGCCUGGGGAGUACGGCCGCAAGGCUAAAACUCAAAGGAAUUGACGGGGGCCCGCACAAGCGGCGGAGCAUGCGGAUUAAUUCGAUGCAACGCGAAGAACCUUACCAAGGCUURACAUGAACCGGUAACGCCUGGAGACAGGUGCCCCGCUUGCGGUCGGUUUACUAGGUGGUGCAUGGUGUCGUCAGCUCGUGUCGGAGAUUG
rnacentral:rRNA from 1 species